rnacentral:lncRNA from 10 species
CCCGCCCCCGCCCCGCAGGGCCCCCAGGCCGGGCGCUGGGGGCGCACAGGCAUACAGAUUCUCUCUCCUCACCACGCGGCUGCUGCUGGAGGAUGGAGGAGGGGUGGUGUCAGCAAUUCAAGACUGUCUUUCCUACCCUCUUCAGUGCCCUUCCUUGAUAAGCUGUUUAAACCAGAACCGACUGUUUCUGGAAAAGGUAAACAUCUAUUCUCCAAAGGGCAGUGACUUUCUACCUGUGAAAAUAAAAAGUAAACUUCAGAAGAAAAUUCUGAAAGAGGAAUUUAGAGAUGUUCCAAAUAAAGGCAAUAUAGUUUCACUGGAACUGAAAUGUUGCCUUCCAAUUCUACUACAGAAGGCAGAGUGGCACAUGUGGCACCUGGUCAGGAUGGACUCACUAAAGGAUUUAACCCAGACUUCUGAUCAACAAAUAUUGCUGCUACAUUAACUGAUUCGCAACAAAGAAAGAAAAUAUCAUCCAGUUGAUUUUAUUAUUUAAAUAUGGGCUCAAAUCUUAAAUCUGACAAACUAAUAAAUAAAUAUGUCUGAAAAGUAAAUAGUAAAUGGUGAACUGGUAUGGCUGAGGCAUUUGUACUGAACCCAUGCUGCUUCCUGGAGAUCACUGCAUUCUUUUCUGUGCUCAGUAAUCUACUUAAACUAUGUCAGAGAUUCGCCUGAGACUUACUUUCCUGUCCUUUCUGGCUCAUAUUAUUUCUUUAUUUAGAAAAUCAGAACAUUUGUUUGUUUUUAGGGUUCAAGCACCUCUUCUCAUCUCUAUAAUGUCUCCAAAUGUCUCAGAGGAUCCCUAACACUAUCUGUGUUUCUUGCACAUUAUGGUAUAAUUUAUCUGUGUCUAGAGAUCUGAAGUCAGGCAAAGUAGUUAAGGGCACUCUUUCUUCUUCCUCAUGUAUCUUGAGACACAGUUCUCUGCUCUUGUGGUUUGUCUGACCCUUUUGAGUUCCUGUUAUGCUUCCAUUUGCACCAGAAGACAAUGGAAAUCAAGUGAAAUUAAAUAUAAAAUGUCAGAACUAGAAACGCUAUUAGAUCAAGUUUAGAUAAAGAAAUGAGAGGGAUUUAAUCUGCUUUGUUCCUUACUAAGACAUGUACAUGGGGCUGUAUCCAAGAUAAAGCUAUGAAACACUUGAAACACUAACUCCCCUUGUACUGAGUCUAUGCUUAUGUGCAACAGACUUUUGAUAGUAAUUUGGCUUUCUGUGUAGAUCCACCUAUAGAUAAAAAAAAAUACUUACCGGAAGAUCCAAGACCCAGUUAUAAGUUAAUAGAUGAACUUCUAAUUUAUACAUCAGAGCUUGUUAGUGGAUGUCUAUCUGGGGGUCGGAGAGAGGGAGAGAUUGAUCCACUGUCAUUAUGCUGCUACAUCAGGUUCCUGAGAUAUAGCCCUUGGAACAUGGAGAUCACACCAGGGUACUGCCCCUUCAAAGCCUCUUUGGGCACCUAGCAACCCUUCUCCAUGGUGUACUUUGACUCCAUCUUGUUGCUAGUUGUCCACAAAUGCCUGUUCUGUGAGAUGGUCCACCUCUUGGUUUGUAAGGCCAGACAGACAUAAGCACAGCUACUUCUCAAGAGGCUGUUACUGACCACAAUAGGUCUUUUCUGUUUUGUUUUGUUUUGUUUUGUUUUGAGACAGAGUCUCACUCUGUUGCCCAGGUUGGAGUGCAGUGGUACGAUCUUGGCUCACUGCAACCUCUGCCUUCUGGGUUCAAGCAGUUCUCCUGCCUCAGCCUCUGAGUAGCUGGGAUUACAGGCGCCCACCACCAUGGCCAGCUAAUUUUUUUUUUUUUUUAUUUUUUUAGUACAGAUGGGGUUUCACCAUGUUGGUCAGGCUGGUCUUGAACUCCUGACCUCAAGUGAUCCAACUGCCUCAGCCUCCCAAAGUGCUGAGAUUACAGGUGUGAGCCACCGCGCUCGGUUGGUUUUUUCUUCCUAAAGGCAAAACCCAGAAUCUUUCCACCUGUUAACACCUGUAAAUCUUCUGAAAUACUCCUUGAAACAAAGACUGCUGUUUCUUCUUUAAACGUAUGACAUGAAAAUCCAUUUUUACAACGAUGCAGUGAAAUAUGCAGCUAUGUGGAAAGCUUCAAGGAUAAAGAAUGAUUACAAUAGACUUCAUUCAAAACUUUUUAGGGAUUCUUCAAAUAAUGAUAUCUAAUUGGAGAGUCUGAUACAUGUUCCAAGGCUGAAUCCUGGGCCUUUAUAGCAACCAGAAAAAAAAAAAAAAAAACGAUUGAAAAUGCCUAAAAGCUCUAACACCCACUUUAAAAAAUGCUUUGAAAUUAUAAUUAUUGAAAAAAUACUAUUUGGAACUAUAUCAUGAUUAAGAAAGCAUCAGAAAAUAAAGUAGCUUGGCAAUUUUGAGUUACUCUCCAACUAAAAAAAUCUGUUUAAUGGACUUUGAAAUGAUUUUGUAUUUGUGUUUAAAAAAUAUGCAUCUCUAUCCAGGUUGACAGCUUAAGUACCAGGCUCUAGCCAAACACAAUCUGAAGUGACUAAGGCAUUGCUUCUUAAAUAAGAGCAAAUUGGAACUGCCAUUUCAAAUCACUACCAUGUCUUCUGGCAAGACUAGAUUAGCACUCACACUCACAUCUGAUGAGGGAGUCACCUCAAGAUUGCAAACAGCCAAUUUGGAUUACCCAGCAAGGGCAUGUUAAAACCAGCAAAGGGUUGCCAGGCCUCUGUUCUUUGGCCAGCCUAUAUAGAAUGGAGAAUUUUGUAGAAGUGAUGUGUUCAACACUUGGACACGUUUAAGAAGACAGCUUGAGUCUAGUUUCUUUGGUCCCUAGGCCAGCUCAAAAUAACCAGGCACAUGCCCUUGCUGACCUCUAAAGGCAGGUCACUCUUAAAGUAAGAGUCUUACUGGCUCUUGCUUGACAUCUCUUCUUUGUUUCAUUCUGCUACCUGACUUUGGUUCUGCUUCUGGCCCUUUGGAAUUGGUGUUUGAACUUGGUCUCUGUUCUUUAGGCCCUGGAUUUUCCUAACAGAUUCCAAUUGGGUUUAUCCUGCUGGCUGUCUAUGAGCUAGGCUACCCUACUUCUUGCCCUUCUGAGGCUAACUUCCAGCAUAGUCCACUUGGCUGACUGGUUCUUCUCUGUGUCUGCAAGAGUAUAUGUGAGUGUUUGGUGGAGAGGGGAAUAGGAUGUAUGCUCAAUUUGAAUAAUCACUCACUAAAAUGAGAGAGAGAGAGAGAGAGAGAGAGAUCUAAACAUGGGGAGUAGAAAGUAAUACAAUUGCUUCUCCUUAUUGACUAUCCUUAGGUUUGAGGUAAAUUCUUAAUUAGGUAUUUAGUUCCCUCCCAAGUAUUUUAUCACAGGCCUCAGAUUCUGCUGCCACCUGGUGCUAAAAUGUUCUAGGUAGUGAUGACUAAAUAGUUUGACAAACUCCAAGAAGUAUCACCUAGAUUCAGAGAUAACAUACUAAUUAGGAGGCUGGAUAUUUAACAUAGUAAGUAAAAGAUAUAACAUAAAAAAAAAACAAGAAUAGCUUAGUGUAAUACAUAAUGAAUAUGUUAUACUUAUAAACAGAUAUAUAAGAUGUAAUAAUAGUAGAUUACUAUAUAGUUCUGAGCUAUCACUAUCUCUUAGAAGUAUGGUCCAUGUCAGGGCCAGGUGCAGUGGCUCAGGCCUAUAAGAUCCCAGCCCUUUGGGAGGCUGAGGCAGGCGGAUCACCUGAGGUCAGGAGUUCAAGACCAGCCUGGCCAACGUGGCAAAACCCCGUCUCUAAAAAAAAAAAUAUAUAUAUAUGUAUAUAUAUAUAUAUAUAUGUGUGUGUGUGUGUGUGUGUGUAUAUAUAUGUAUGUAUGUAUAUAUAUACACACUGUACACACACACACAAAAUAAAUUAGCUGGGCAUGGUGGCACACGCCUGUAGUCCCAGCUACUUGGGAGGCUGAGGUAACAGAAACGCUUGAACCCAGGAGGUGGAGGUUGCAGUGAGCUGAGAUCGUGCCACUGUACUCCAGCCUGGGCAACAGAGUGAGACUCUGUUUCAAAAAAAGAAAAAGAAAAAGAAAGAAAUAAAAGAAGUAUGGUCUAUGUCUAAUCCCCAUUUGAGCUGUCACUUCCAAAUAUGACAGAAUGCUUAGUGUUAAUACACAUUAACAGCAAAUAAUUUCACUUAAUGGCCUCCCUAACUGAAAAAAGUUUUCUGCCAGCUUCUAAAUUAAGAUUGGUUAAUUUUGCCCAAGGUUUAUUUAUAUUUCACAGAAAUUAUUUUUUUCUUUUGUGGAGUUUAUUGAUCUGCCAUUUCUCCCCAGUCUUCAUUUUGCCACCAUUUUUCUCUAUUGCUCCUCCAAGCAGGGUCUGUUUCCAUUGCUUCUGGUUUUUCCAAAAUUGUUUUGUUUCUAUUCUUUAACUCUCUGUCCUGUGAGAUUUUCAUAUUCCCGGUGAUUACAUAUCAUCCACCCAAUCUUUCCCAGUGUAACUUUUACAGAAAGACUGUCCUAUUGGACUCCUAAAUACAGCAAUACCUUACUCAUUUGGCUUUUGAGUCCCAACUAUUGAGGGACAUAAGAAGAAUUUUUCCAAGGUUCAGGCAAAAGAGAAAUUCAGUAGGACCAUUCAUCUAAGACAGAUAGUAUUUUCCAGAGAUGAUCAAAAGAAUAAUUCCCACUCCACAUGCUUUUUUUUUUUUUUUUUUUUUUACACAAUAUGACUUCUGUUCUGUUUUCAUAGAGAAGUGGAAUCUAAACUCUCUUCCCUAGAAUCUGGGUGGGUUUGUGACUUUGGAAGAAGUGAUGCUGUGUGACUUCACUUAGAUGUGACUUAGGUUAGAUGAUAAAAAGUGAUAAAGUUUCACCACCACCAAGCUGUGAGGAAAACCAAAGUAGCUCAUACAGAGACACCACAUGGAGAGGCCACUGUAUUUUUUCCAGCUGACAGCUCAACUGAAGUCCCAGCCACAGCCAGCAUCAACUGCAAAGACACCUCCAGAUGACUGCAACCCCAGCCAUCAAGUCAUUCCCAGCCUUCAAGCCUUCCCAGCUGAGGCCCAGACAUCAGAGAAG